UUUUGUUAUUGGAAAAUACAGCCAUUGGUAACACUUCAUAAUGUCAAUUAAUGCUCAUUGUGAAGGUCCCUUGAAGUGUAUGUGAUUCUGUAGCUGCUGUCUGAGAACUUCAUCAACUGGAGAGGUUUUGUUUUGCCCUAAGAAAAUUGUCUUAAUUUAUAGGAUGUUGAUGAAAUCAGUUCUUCUACAACCUGUGAGUCAGAUGAUUGCAUUAUUCCUUCAAGUCAAUCUCCACGUGAGGCACAUAAGCGAGCAUCUCCUUCAAAUGCUGUUGUUUACCCCAUUUUCAGUGUACCACCUGCCAGCAAGAAAAGGAUGCAGGCUACGCUGGAUGAACUGACUGCUCUGUUUGGGUCCAGCCCACCUGUAAAAACAUCUCACACCUUGCAGAAAAGCAAGAAGGCAAAAGAGCUCUGCAAGCGCUCCAGAGAUCAGAUGAUCAUUGUAAGGUUCCCCUCGGGGUGUGCUGGGUCCUCGGGGUGACAUGGUGGAGAGGAAACAAGAAAUAUGUCUUGAGUCUAACAGAUAAGUAGACUUCCUCACGUGUAAACCUCAAACCAACCACACUGUGACGACAGUAACACGGUAGUGAUUAACAUAUUUAGCACUUUAGGACAGGGUAGUAGCUGGGAAAUACAUUGUUAUGGUUUCCCUGGGACUAACACUUUAUUACAUUUUGGAAUUCAAAAGAGGUUUAUGUAACUUAAUAUUUAAAACAAAACAAAAAAACCCAAAGAGGAACUUGGCCAAGCCUGUAUAGAUACUAUAGGAGUGGAUUUGGCUGUAUAAUUUUCCUUUCCCACGGCUUCCUGGCCCGCUGUGCGAACAGAGUCAGCACAGCACUGCAACCACAGCGGCAAACGUCAGCCAGGGCAGCACAGGAGCAGGAAUGUGCAAGUGAGAGCUGAGCCUGAAUGGAGCUCGCUCUGUUAACGAGUGGGUGCCUCUUCAGUAGCUCCAUGUCUGCCUUCCUGCUGCUGCCCUUCAGUGUGGAGUACUGAUUUUGGAGCAGCAGGAGGCCAAACAGUGUUAUUGAGACUUGCGUGUCAUCUAGCUAUCACACGUAUGGGUUUCCAGAAAAUACGCCCUCAGUGAUGAGUAAUUUUCUUAGUAAACCAUUUGUUCUCGCUUGGUGACAUGCAGACAUUUUCAAGCCUGUUUCCUGAGGGAACAGGGCUUAUGUGAUCAUUCUUGUCUGCUGAUCUGCCUUUUCUAGCAC
rnacentral:lncRNA from 1 species